rnacentral:rRNA from 1 species
AUACGGGGGGAGCAAGCGUUGUCCGGAAUCACUGGGCGUAAAGGGCGUGUAGGCGGUCUGGUAAGUCAGAUGUGAAAUCCCACGGCUUAACCGUGGAAUUGCAUUUGAAACUGCCGGACUUGAGUGCGAGAGAGGGUAGUGGAAUUCCCGGUGUAGCGGUGAAAUGCGUAGAUAUCGGGAAGAACACCAGUAGCGAAGGCGGCUACCUGGCUCGCAACUGACGCUAAGGCGCGAAAGCGUGGGUAGCAAACGGGAUUAGAUACCCUAGUAGUCC